AGUUUUUAUUUUCUGAUUCUGAGAACUCUUGUUCUUGGCAUGCUUUCUCUUGCAACCCAGCCACCAGGCUGUGAAAAGUCCAGACUACUCUGGUACAGCAGCCCAGCUGAGUUUCCAGCUGACAGCUAGGUUGAAUGACCAGGUUUUCAGUGAGCCAUCUUGUCUGUUCCAGCCCAUUUGAAUCCUCAGGUGACUACAGUCCCAACCAUCAUCAUAUGGAAUAGAAGAACUGCCCAGGCUAUUGCUCUUACAGAAGAAAUUCCUUCCACCAUUCUUGUCCACAGGAUAUCUCCACCCACCUACACUAUCUCCAAGUCCACAGGAGAGAUGGGGUUGCAAAGCAAGUAAAUGCACUGAAUUCCAAAGAGUCACAAAGUCUGAAAAGAAAAUAUCACCUUUCACAAAGCAUAUGAGGAUGAGGUGAUCACCAUAAAAGAAAAAAAAUCAUUGCCAGCAGACCUUCACUUCAAGAAAUGUUAAAGGAAAUUCUUCAUUCAGCAGGAACAUGAGACCAGAUGGAAAUUUGAAUUUAUACAAAGAAAUGAAAAGUGCCAGAAAAAAUAAAAUAAAGGUAAAGGUUUUCUGCUACAAAUCAUAUUUCCUGAUAUAGAGUGAAAAGGCAAAGGAAUCUCCUGAUAGAAGAGUAGAAUCCAAAAAUAAUCUGAGAGCAAUUGAAGGUCAUGGUGAGGAACAUGAACGUUGAAAUGGAGGAAACAUGGGUUUGAUUGCCAAUUCUACCCCUCUCAAGUUCUUUGGUUUGGGGUAAAUGAGUCAACCUUACUAGAUUCGGUUCAAUGGAACUAACAUGAAAUCAUUUGCUAUUGAACAUCUAUCUCUACAGGGCACCAUUCUAGGUGUUAGAAGUUCCCCAAUGAACAAGACAGAGAAGAUACAGGAUAUCAUGGAGCUUAAAUUGUUUAGUUUGUCAGAGGAGGGAAAACAAUAACAAGUAGGCAAAUUACAAAGAUAAUUUUAUAUAUUUAUGUUAUAGGUGGUAAGAAAUAAAAGUAAAUAAUAUGUUAGAGAGAUCCUGGGUCCUUCUUUAGAUGGAAAUUAUGGAAAGCCUCUCUGAGAAGGAGAUAUCUGAGGUGAAACAGAAGGAAAACUCUCCUAUGUGAAAAUCAAGAGAGGGGCGCCUGGGUGGCUCAAUCCGUUAA